AAAGUCGUAACAAGGUUUCCGUAGGUGAACCUGCGGAAGGAUCAUUACAAAUCUUUGUCUUGCUUAGGAGGCCUUUGGGCUGACUAGCAGACACAUAUGCACAGGGCCGCAAGGCUCUGAUGUUUACGCUUGUUUGUUUGACAGAUAUAUUUAGUGACAAAACUUGACAACUUUUAACAAUGGAUCUCUUGGCUCUU
rnacentral:misc_RNA from 1 species